CCUACGGGAUGCACCAGUGGGGAAUAUUGCACAAUGGGCGCAAGCCUGAUGCAGCCAUGCCGCGUGUAUGAAGAAGGCCUUCGGGUUGUAAAGUACUUUCAGCGAGGAGGAAGGCGUUAAGGUUAAUAACCUUAGCGAUUGACGUUACUCGCAGAAGAAGCACCGGCUAACUCCGUGCCAGCAGCCGCGGUAAUACGGAGGGUGCAAGCGUUAAUCGGAAUUACUGGGCGUAAAGCGCACGCAGGCGGUCUGUCAUGUCGGAUGUGAAAUCCCCGGGCUCAACCUGGGAACUGCAUCUGAUACUGGCAAGCUUGAGUCUCGUAGAGGGGGGUAGAAUUCCAGGUGUAGCGGUGAAAUGCGUAGAGAUCUGGAGGAAUACCGGUGGCGAAGGCGGCCCCCUGGACGAAGACUGACGCUCAGGUGCGAAAGCGUGGGGAGCAAACAGGAUUAGAUACCCGUGUAGUC
rnacentral:rRNA from 1 species